CCCGCCCCCACCACCUCAGGUGAGCCACCAAUCUCCUCUUGGGGAGAGGCUUCCCUCCUGCAGCCGCCAUUCAGAAGUACCAGGACUGUGGGCACCUGGAAGCUCGGCCUUGUAAACAAGGAAUGCAGGACCCCAGAGCCAAUAUGGAGCACCUCCCUGAGUAAAGCCCUGGGUGGAAAGAAUACACAUAAACGUGUCACAUCCUUCACCUUCCUAGACAACUGUGGCAAGCUCAUCUCACGUGACAGGAAGGACCACUGUGGCUGGCUGCUGGGCCAGCCUUGCUUGAGACCCUUUUGGAUUCUGCAGAUAAUAGACUGUUUGUCCAAGUUGAAAGAGGUCUGAAGUAGUCCGUGCCUGCUCAUUAUAAACCUGGGGACAAUGUCAUCAAGGGACACUGGAGACAAUCUAAGAAAUUAUACUCCCCAAAACAUUAGAUCCAGGUGCUGUGGACAUGUAAGAUGUGUCUUAGCUGGUUUCAGAAUGAUGGUUGGGGACAGAAGAAGCUUGAGGAGCCUCGACUUGGGUGGGAACCCUUCACCCUAUUCAGGAAGAAUAUUCCCAACUUCAAUAUGGGGACAUGGGAAGCCAUGUUGAGUGGGCAUCUCAGCACGUUUCCUUAUAUUCGCUUAAAAUAUAUUGAUUGUGUUUAUUGCCACAGUA